AAAUCCUACGGGGCGCAGCAGUGGGGAAUUUUGCGCAAUGGGGGAAACCCUGACGCAGCAACGCCGCGUGCUGGACGAAGGCCCUCGGGUUGUAAACCGCUUUCAGCAGGGAAGAUCCAAGACGGUACCUGCAGAAGAAGCUCCGGCUAACUACGUGCCAGCAGCCGCGGCAAUACGUAGGGGGCGAGCGUUAUCCGGAUUCAUUGGGCGUAAAGCGCGCGUAGGCGGCCGCCUAAGCGGGACCUCUAACCCCGGGGCUCAACCCAGGGCCGGGUCCCGGACUGGGCGGCUCGAGGGCGGUAGCG
rnacentral:rRNA from 1 species